GAUCAUGGCUCAGGAUGAACGCUAGCUACAGGCUUAACACAUGCAAGUCGAGGGGCAGCGGGAAGUCAGCUUGCUGACUUUGCCGGCGACCGGCGCACGGGUGAGUAACACGUAUCCAACCUUCCCGUUACUCUGGAAUAGCCUUUCGAAAGAAAGAUUAAUACCGGAUAGUAUCGAGAGAUUGCAUGAUUACCCGAUUAAAGAAUUUCGGUCAUCGAUGGGGAUGCGUUCCAUUAGGUUG
rnacentral:rRNA from 1 species